rnacentral:rRNA from 1 species
AUUGAACGCUGGCGGCAUGCUAUACACAUGCAAGUCGAACGGUAACAGGGUGCUUGCACCGCUGACGAGUGGCGAACGGGUGAGUAAUGCGUCGGAACGUGCCGAGUAGUGGGGGAUAACGCAUCGAAAGGUGUGCUAAUACCGCAUACGUACUGAGGUAGAAAGUGGGGGACCUUCGGGCCUCACGCUAUUCGAGCGGCCGACGUCUGAUUAGCUAGUUGGUGAGGUAAAGGCUCACCAAGGCGACGAUCAGUAGCGGGUCUGAGAGGAUGAUCCGCCCCACUGGUGCUGGGACACGGACCAGACUCCUACGGGAGGCAGCAGUGGGGAAUUUUGGACAAUGGGCGCAAGCCUGAUUCAGCCAUGCCGCGUGUCUGAAGAAGGCCUUCGGGUUGUAAAGGACUUUUGUCCGGGAGGAAAUACCCAGUGCUAAUAACGCUGGGGGCUGAGAGUACCGGAAGAAUAAGCACCGGCUAACUACGUGCCAGCCGCCGCCGUAACAC